rnacentral:lncRNA from 1 species
GUCUCUGCCCUCAGAGAUCAAGCGUGGGGAAGCAGACCUAAAAUGUGCAGGAAGCUCACCAGUCACAGCUGGUAUCAGCCUCUGUUGAAGCCUCUUACAACCUGCUCAACUUUGGAAAUAGGGACAGAUUCCACAACGGAGACAAGAAAGCAGGGACCAGACUAUUAUGUAUUACAUGUCAACUUGGGAGAGAGUCUGGAGUCCUUCCUGUACCAGCCCCACCUCGGCUGCCCCACAGCGAGCCAGACUACCAUAGCCUCUUCACACCCAUCACGUGACACCUGCCACUCCAUCUCGUCACCAGUCAGCAGCUUCUUGAGGGACAACGGCCACCUUUUUUUUCCUCCUCCACUGGGCCUCAGUCUUUAUACUUCCCGGACCUGUUCAACACACCCUCAGGCCUUUCCUCUCCAGGUCAGGUCUGGAUAUGAGGACCCACUCAUCCUUAGACGAAGUCCUCUCUGUCAAAAAGAUAAAUGGGAAACACAGGCUACCUUGGAUAAAACUCCAAUGAAACUUUGUCACGUUUUAAAGCAUUAUUUUUAUAUUAUUGAAUAUACUAGUAAUAAAUUAUUCCUGCCUGAAGAAAAACUCCUGAGCCCAGUGUAGUACAAACACUGACCCUGAGCAGGGACACAGUGGCCUCCAGCCCUGCCACAUCCUCCUGUGCUAGGACAGUAGGACAUCAUUCCCCCAUAGUAUGUGUUCUGAAGCCUUCAGUCCCGACCUUCUGCUCUCCUUGCCCC